GCAGUCGUGGCCGAGUGGUUAAGGCGAUGCACUAGAAAUCCAUUGGGGUCUCCCCGCACAGGUUCGAAUCCUGUCGACUGCG
rfam:Ixodes scapularis strain Wikel colony gcontig_1108379156112, whole genome shotgun sequence.